rnacentral:rRNA from 1 species
GAGCGGCGAACGGGUGAGUAACACGUAGGUGAUCUGCCCAUCAGACGGGGGACAACGAUUGGAAACGAUCGCUAAUACCGGAUAGGACGAAAGUUUAAAGGUGCUUCUGGCACCGCUGAUGGAUGAGCCUGCGGCGCAUUAGCUAGUUGGUAGGGUAAAGGCCUACCAAGGCGACGAUGCGUAGCCGACCUGAGAGGGUGAACGGCCACACUGGGACUGAGACACGGCCCAGACUCCUACGGGAGGCAGCAUG